rnacentral:rRNA from 1 species
UACAGAGGGGGCAAGCGUUGUUCGGAAUUAUUGGGCGUAAAGGGUGCGUAGGCGGUCUGUUAAGUCUUCUGUGAAAUCUACGGGCUUAGCCUGUAACGUGCAGAGGAAACUGACAGGCUUGAGUGUCGGAGAGGAUAGGGGAAUUCCCGGUGUACAGGUGAAAUUCGUAGAGAUCGGGAGGAACACCAGUGGCGAAGGCGCCUGUCUGGCUGACAACUGACGCUGAGACUCGAAAGCAUGGGGAGCAAACAGG